rnacentral:rRNA from 1 species
UAGAUACCCUAUUAUUUUGGAUAUAAAAUUUUAAUCUUGAGUAGUAUUAGAUAUGUACUUGAAACUUAAAGAAUUUGGCGGUAUUUUAGUCUAGUUAGAGGAAUCUGUCCCAUUAUCGAUAAUCCACGUUGAACCUUACUUAAUAUGAUUUAAUAUGUAUACCGCCGUUUAUUUGAAGAUCUUUUUAGGGUUAAAUCUUCUUUAAAUUUGAAUUAAUUUUAAUUCAGGUCAAGGUGCAGUUGAUAAUUAAGUGGAGAUGGAUUACAAUAUUUAAAAAGUAAAUGAAUUAAGGCUUGAAAAAUUUUAUGAAGGUGGAUUUAAUAGUAAUUAUUAAUAAGAAUUAUUUUUGUGAUUUUGGCUCUAAAAUGUGCACACAUCGCCCGUCACUCUCGUUAUUAAGAUGAGAUAAGUC